rnacentral:rRNA from 1 species
UACGUAGGGGGCUAGCGUUGUCCGGAAUCAUUGGGCGUAAAGAGCGCGUAGGCGGCUAGAUAAGUCCGGUGUGAAAGUCACAGGCUCAACCUGUGAAUGCCGCUGGAAACUGUCUGGCUAGAGUCCGGAAGGGGCGAGUGGAAUUCCUGGUGUAGCGGUGAAUGCGCAGAUAUCAGGAGGAACACCAAUGGCGAAGGCAGCUCGCUGGGACGGUACUGACGCUGAGGUGCGAAAGGCUGGGGAGCAAACAGG